rnacentral:rRNA from 1 species
UACGGGGGGGGUAAGCGUUGUUCGGAAUUACUGGGCGUAAAGGGCUCGUAGGCGGCCAACUAAGUCAUACGUGAAAUCCCUCAGCUUAAACUGGGGAACUGCGUGUGAUACUGGAUGGCUUGGAUUUGGGAGAGGGAUGCGGAAUUCCAGGUGUAGCGGUGAAAUGCGUAGAUAUCUGGAGGAACACCGGUGGCGAAGGCGGCAUCCUGGACCAAUAUUGACGCUGAGGAGCGAAAGCUAGGGGAGCAAACGGG